UACGAAGGGGGCUAGCGUUGUUCGGAUUUACUGGGCGUAAAGCGCACGUAGGCGGAUCGUUAAGUCGGGGGUGAAAUCCUGGAGCUCAACUCCAGAACUGCCUUCGGUACUGGCGAUCUUGAGUCCGGAAGAGGUGAGUGGAACUCCUAGUGUAGAGGUGGAAUUCGUAGAUAUUAGGAAGAACACCAGUGGCGAAGGCGGCUCACUGGUCCGGUACUGACGCUGAGGUGCGAAAGCGUGGGGAGCAAACAGG
rnacentral:rRNA from 1 species